AUUCUUGCAAAAAACAUUGAUUCUAAAAAUCACUCUAUUCUCAAGCGCACGAUGGCAGUUAAAUCCUCAUUUUUGUUACUUUGCUUCACUGUGUUAUUUCUCAUAGCAUCGGAACCUGGUUUUAAUGCCUUGGUUAGUGCUUGCGAAUCUGACGCUGACUGUGCAUGGAUGUCAUGCCCAGGGUUUUCUAGUGGGAAAUGCAUUGCGGGGGGAUGCAUGUGCUCUGGGGCUCCGAAGAAUGAGAAUUUUAAGAAUUAAUGUUAAACAAAAUAAAACUUAUGUUGAGUCUAAUUUUAUGGUUCAAAAAGAGAAUUCAAUGGCUCAAUAAUUAUUUUUCUGUAGAGGUUGAAAUGUUGAGAUAAUUAAGCAUAUAAAAUAUAUCUUCCUCAAAAACAUUUUUGUCU